GCAAGUCGUACGAGAGUUUUUAACUCUAGUGGCGGACGGGUGAGUAACACGUGAGAAUUUACCUUUAGGAGGGGGAUAACAAUUGGAAACGAAUGCUAAUACCCCAUAUGCUUUCGAGUGAAAUGGAUUUAUAUUUAUUCGCCUAGAGAGAAGCUCGCGGCUGAUUAGCUUGUUGGUAAGGUAAGAGCUUACCAAGGCGACGAUCAGUAUCUGGUUUGAGAGGAUGAUCAGACACACUGGAACUGAGACACGGUCCAGACUCCUACGGGAGGCAGCAGUGGGGAAUUUUCCGCAAUGGGCGAAAGCCUGACGGAGCAAUACAGCGUGAGGGAAGACUGCCUAUGGGUUGUAAACCUCUUUUUUCAGGGAGGAAUAAAUGACGUGUACCUGAAGAAUAAGCAUCGGCUAACUCCGUGCCAGCAGCCGCGGUAAGACGGAGGAUGCAAGUGUUAUCCGGAAUCACUGGGCGUAAAGCGUCUGUAGGUGGUUUAAUAAGUCAACUGUUAAAUCUUGAGGCUCAACCUCAAAAUCGCAGUCGAAACUAUUAGACUAGAGUAUAGUAGAGGUAAAGGGAAUUUCCAGUGGAGCGGUGAAAUGCGUAGAUAUUGGAAAGAACACCGAUGGCGAAAGCACUUUACUGGGCUAUUACUAACACUCAGAGACGAAAGCUAGGGUAGCAAAUGGGAUUAGAUACC
rnacentral:rRNA from 1 species